GAAGUCCUGUCUUCCCUAUAGAACCCAGAACAGCUAUGUAAUUUGCUUCACCUUCUGUUAGGACUUGCACCUUCUUUGCCAUACAGAAUGCUAUAAAAAUGACAGUCUGCCAGUGACCAAAGCUUUCUCAUUUUUUUUCCUUCCAGAACAAUAGCACACAUCUUGGUUAAAGCUAUAGUCUCUUUAUUAUUCAAAAAACAUUCUUUUUCCUGCUGCACCAUUAGGCAAACAUACAUUAUGCUUAGAAUGAUACUUGGAAACUCCUUAACAGGGCAUAUUGAAGUAUUUGAUCCGGCAAUUUACCUAAAAGAAUGUUUUCUCUUCACCUAGGGAAAUAAAACCUGAAUUUCAGAGCCUCCAAAAUGAAAUUAUCCUUCCAGGGGAAGCACAUUGCCACCAAAUACAUCACUCACUACCUGUUUCUGGUGACUACAUAGAAGAUGUGUUAUUUUUCUGAAGUUUAGAAAGUCACUGUUUACAGCUAUGCAAAUAUCAUUGUAAUAUUACAGAUUUUUCUAAUGAAGUAGUUUGAAAUCAAGACUUUAGUGGAAGGUAAUCUUUUCAGUUUCUGACCCAAAUUUCUUUUUCAAACAAAACUCCUCUGAAAGCCUCUUUGCUAUACAGGUGAUGAAGGCACUAGCUAGUCUAAGCAGACACAUAAAGUAAAAACUUUGUAGUAGGGAAUUUUUGUUGGUAAGAAAUCAGUAUCAUCUUGUAACACAAACACGUGUUAAUAGAACUUAAAAAUAUUCAGCCUAAUUCCUUGGGACUUUCAGUAUCUUGACAUCACUUGUAUUAUCAUUUGAACUUGGACAUUGAGCCCUUUAUUUUUGGGAGUUUACAGUUAAAUUUUGGAAAAAAUGUGUUGUAUUUCUUUCUUAGAUGUUGUCAGUAUGAACAGAAUUUUUUUGUGGGCAGUUAAUCUUGAUGUGCUCCAUAGCUUUCUCCAGUUUAUACUUUUGCAUUUCUGAGAUUCAGGGUCUUUUUCAAGGAAGGAGGCUAAUGUUUAAGGCCUGGAGGCUGAAUUCAGGGAGAGUAUUGGCAAGUUUAGGCACUUACUUGUGUCUUAAUGUGGGAAACAGAACUUUCUAAGUAAUCUCUGGAGUUUGUAGCUUAGACCCGGCCUUCAAAAGUCUUUUCUGUUUUCCUUUGCUGCAGUUUGCUUGUUAUUUCUCUGCCAGUCACAGAUGACCUGGACUGACUUAAUGCUUUUGUGGUAAGGAACUGAUCUGGCCAUUUUCAUAUAACAAAAAUCAAAGUCAACAAUUUUGUAUCAGUCUGCCUAAAUGAACCCUAUUGUUUCCAGUUCUUAAAAAUUUAAGGGCUGUCUAAGAAAAGUUUAAGCAAAACCCUCAUUCCAAACAUGCAACCUUAUAAUAAGAACUUCCUUUAAAGAUGAGCAGCAAGGUUGGGUAUCUGAUUUCACUAAGUAAUAUUCUAUUGUGGUCAGAAAUGAGUAAUUUGCAUCAUUUGGUCACUACCAAUAUUUGUGUUGGAGUCUGUAAGAUAUUUCAACAAAGUAAGUCAAACCACUAUCUUAGGGGAUUGUUGCUGGACUUUGGAAUAUAAGGCUGAACAGUGAUGUGAAGUCAUGUUUGGGGGCUGGAAGAAGUGAUAAAUGCAAAGGUUGGUGCUAAAUUAGGAACCCCUUGAAGGAGCAAGCUGAUUAAAAAAAAAGCUGGCAGACAAGUAUAUCUUUUAAUUUAUUUGCAGUGUUACUGUAUUAUAGAGAUGAUUUCCUAUGGGAAAACCCAUCAAAAAGCCAAACCUUUAUUGUUAUUUUUCCUUAAAAAUACUGAGCUAUAAGAAGAUUCAGAGAGUGGCAUUAAUUUGGAUAUCAGAACAUUUUCUUUUGUAUCCCUAGUAUUAUUGAUUUGAAAGAGUUACCUUUUCAGACACAUGGCUGAACAAAAGUAAAUGAUUAACGGAAAAUAUGAUGGUUGAGAAAAAGGACCGAUAUGCCUAAAGCAUUUUGAGAAUAUACACCUCAUCCAUCAGCCUCCUCUGGGUAAAGAAACACAAAUACCAAAGCCUGACCUCCUUAACCUUUUGUUCCAGACAGCAGACAUUUUUAAGAAAGGUGGAUGUUAGAGAAGGUUACCUGAUGAGCAGGCUUCUUUCCCAUAAUGCAGAGAACUGUGAAUGUACUUAGAAAUACACUACAGGUCUUCACCAGACGAGCUAGAUUUUAUAAUUUUAAAAUAUAAUACUCAAAGCUAGUUUGAAGUUUCAGAAGCCAUGAAUUAUGGGGAAGAAGUGUUGUUUUAUUUUAUUUUAUUUUUCUGAUCUCAAAUUGUUUGUCCUGUUGUACGUUCAAUACUUGGGGAGAUAAGAGCAAGGUACAGCUGUGGUUUUCAGACCGUAUUCAGUGGUGCCCCUGAGGGUCUCUUGUGAACAGAAGGGAAAGAGAGUGUGAUGAAGGUGAACUCUGCCUAUCUGAACCUCUGUCAACCUCCAGUCAGAAUAUCUGGCUUCUAGUAUUGUCCCUUUUAACUGGAAGUCUCUGUGGCCAUUAAAAACUUGGGAACGUUGGAUUAAAUGACCACUUUAGGACUUUAAACAGUCUCAAAUAUGGGAAAUUUUAUAGCCAACCAUGGCUGUGAGUCCCUGGCUUUUGCUGUAUUGAGUAUGCUCACAGAGAUAGGGAGACAGGUGGCAAGAAGACAGGGUCAUUUAAUUUUAAUUGAGCAUAAAUCAUUUUGAAAGAAAAGUGCAAGGAAUUAUUGUAUGACAGCCAUGCACUACAGAUCCUUACAUGGGGCAUUUUCCUAAAGUGGUUGAGAAUGACCUGAUCUUUGUUCACCAUCUCAGUGACAAGGAGUGGAGUGACUGGGCUCUUCAUAUGCAGUGGAAUUUUUGCAUCUCUAGGUUUGCAGAGGCAGGAGUUACCAUUUUCGUUCAUUGACCUAUCAUAAAAAAGCAAAUCCUUUGGACAAUGUUGACACAGACAGGGGUACGGUCUGAGACUCAAGCUAACAGAGCUACCCCUUGCUGCAUUUGGCAAAGGUGUUGUAGGUGGAGAAGGGUAAUGGAAACCUGGUACAGCCUUUAGAAGCUGGAAGCUAUGGUGGUGUAUCUGUCGUGAACUGCACACAAGGGAAUGCUUAAACACCAACUGAGUCAUAUCAGGUGCCUUGUACACACACAUAAAGAGUCUGGUGAAUUCUGACAGUGUUAUGUUUGCCACUGGAGCAAAUUUAAUAGCUGGGGUUUCACAGCAACUGUUUUAGAACACUGUAUGUGCCAAACAUUUACAUUGGGCAGCAGUUUAUAGUGUUCUUGGCCAAUCUGCAUAAAAGCCACUUGAGGAGGUUUGAUUAAGAAAAUUAUGUUUAUCUCCUGUAUUACCUCUGUGUUUGAUUUAUUCUUUAGUCUCAAAUUUAUUUUCUGAGUGGAGUGAUUUUCUAUGUGAACUGAGAUGACGUUUUAAUAGAAUAAUAGGUAUUUUUAGAGGAAAAGUAUUUUUUUGUGUAAUUCACUUACACAACUAGGACAUACUUCCUAUGAUACUGAAUCAUCAAAUUGAGUCAUUUAAAGCUGAAAGAGGUGUUAGGAAUGUAGUUUCACAUUAUUUAAAUACAUGAACAGUUUUCUAUAUAUUUUGUGAAAAUCUUGAUGAGACACUAGAAUUUCUUUAUGGAAUUGAACUUUACAAGAAUGUUAAUAAAAGAGGUGGAUUUCUUCAGCUUUCUUUGUGCUUCAGUUUCAUGGCUGAAAAUGCUGCUUCCAUUUAUUAAUAUGGUCUUUGUAAGAAAACACAACAACACGUUUUCUUACCUUCUGUAAAUUUUGUGAUAGACACAUGUUAUUUGUAUAUAUGAUUGAUUGUUUGCCUAUGUUGCACCCUAAAGUUAUUUUCAAACCAUGUUUAUUGCAAAGAGAGCCUUUGGGCAAGUGGAAAAUGCCCUGAUGCUAGAAUGAGGUAGUUCCAUAAGCUAGUUAGGAGCUUGCUACCUCUUCUUGGUACCUGAAAUAUUCUGAAAGGAGAUCAGAGAGGUCCUAUGCACCCUUGUCUUUCAAAACCCACCUCCAGCACUUCAAAGUAGUGUCUCUGGAGAAUUUGAAAUAAAAGAAUGAAUGCUACUCAGUGGAUUCCCUCAUUGGGGCGCCCAUCUUUCCUGCCAGGUGCAGUUUUUUCCGGUUGGAAUCAUCUCUUCUUUAUGGAUUGCCGCAUUGUCUCUUUGUGAAUGAGGCAGGCUGAACUGUAGAGCAUGAAACUCAUUAGAAGUUUAUAAAGUAAAGACCUCUAAAGCAUGUGGGUGGAAUGUUUCCAUGCUCUUGAGGUGAAUAUUAAAUUUAAAUUCUGGCAUUUGGGAACUCUGCUUGUGAGCUGAAGAAGGAAAGAAGGAGUUGGGGGUGUAUAUCUAACUGUGUUUUUCUAUAUGGAAAUACAUGAGCAUCAAGUGAUAACUUCAAUAAGGCCUCAGGAUUGUAUUUAAAAUAUCUGUUUUGUGGGACAGCAUGCCUUUGUUUUCUUUGCCUGUUGGCUUUGGUGGCUCCAAACAUUUUCAUUUUAGGCUAGCUUUCCUGUCACCCAGGUUGUGUGCAUUUUUUUUCAUUUGAACUAUUGUUUAUCAUUAUUAAUGAUGUUAUCUCCAAAUCCUAAAGCCAAGGAAAUAGCCAGUAUGCAGGACUUGCAGUAGAUGUAAGCAUUGGUGUUAACAUAGGUUAAGUUUUAAUAGUGUUCCCAGAAAUAUACUGAAUUGAAGGAUAAUGUAGCUUUAAAGAAAUUAUGUUUGUUUUUAACAUUUGGAGAAGCCACCUGUCCUGGGUCCCUAUUCUUGAGAAAUUCAUCUUUUCCUGCAAAUAACAUUGAUGGGGGACAAGACUGGAUGACUGACUUCUAUCAGUCAAUAGACAAGGAAUUAUAAUAAUUGCCAAAGGUGAGGGUAAUUUUGCCUUACAAGUAUGUAGGUCAUUCUGUGGUGAAAUUUCCCAUCACAUCUAGUAAAAAACAACCUUUUCAUUUCCCUCCUUUCUAAUCCAAGAUCAUAUUUUUAAAAAGUAAGUUUCUGAUGUGCCAUGAAAUAUUUCUGUGAAUCUGUGUUUUUGACCAAGGAAACAGCUGAGAUGUUAAACCAUGUGGUUGUUCCACGGUUCAUCUGGCUACUGUUCUGGGUCCCCUCUGACCACCUCAAAAAGAAAAUGAAAUUGGGAGAUUAAAUCAAGCUUGACCUCCUCUUUUAAUGAGGAACUUUCACGUUGACUUCCUAUCUCAGGAUAUUCUUCAGUUUCAUACUGCUGAGGAGAAAGGAACAAGCUGCAGACACUGUAACUGGUCUCCAGAUGUGUGUAUAUGCGUGUAAAACUUCACACCGUGUGUGUUGUGUUCAAUGUUGUGUCAAUCUACAAACUGACUCAAACAACAGUUCAACGAUAGCGAAGACAGUGAUAAUGGCAAAAAACACCCAACCACCCUUUUCCGUCAAAGUGCUUGCUAUGACUUUCAUAGCUGGGACAAGUAAAAUUAAGUAUUCAGGAGCAAAGUGUUCUUGAAAGAAAAUGGUGUGUUGAUCUCAUAAGAAAAUGUACAACCAAUAAAAGACAUU
rnacentral:lncRNA from 1 species